rnacentral:rRNA from 1 species
GAUGAACGCUGGCGGCGUGCCUAAUACAUGCAAGUCGAGCGAAUGGAUUAAGAGCUUGCUCUUAUGAAGUUAGCGGCGGACGGGUGAGUAACACGUGGGUAACCUGCCCAUAAGACUGGGAUAACUCCGGGAAACCGGGGCUAAUACCGGAUAACAUUUUGAACCGCAUGGUUCGAAAUUGAAAGGCGGCUUCGGCUGUCACUUAUGGACGGAACCGCGUCGCAUUAGCUAGUGGGUGAGGUACCGGCUCACCAAGGCAACGAUGCGUAGCCGACCUGAGAGGGUGAUCGGCCACACUGGGACUGAGACACGGCCCAGACUCCUACGGGAGGCAGCAGUAGGGAAUCUUCCGCAAUGGACGAAAGUCUGGCGGAGCAACGCCGCGUGAGUGAUGAAGGCUUUCGGGUCGUAAAACUCUGUUGUUAGGGAAGAACAAGUGCUAGUUGAAUAAGCUGGCACCUUGACGGUACCUAACCAGAAAGCCACGGCUAACUACGUGCCAGCAGCCGCCGUAA